UUUCCACCUUAUAAUUCCAUAGACUCCUAUCUCUGGGACCUGCUGCCUGACAAACGGGGGCAAAAGCCAAAUUCGCUUAGGAACAGCCUCGUCCUCAAUUCCCCUCUUGAACUUUCAGGAAGGACCCUUGUGCCUUAGAGCCGGAGAAGCCUCAAAGAAACAAGUGGAACUGUUUAAAUCAUUGUUUUACGAACACGUUUGACAGCAGAAUCCCAGGUGUGCUCUAGAACUCACUUUGGGCAACACCUAUUUCCUGACUGGGGACUUGAUGGGACCGUUCCACGGCCCUAUCUGGGCGUGGGCUGAGGGUACUUGUAUCUGGGACCGGGAGAACCCAGAUUCUAGCCCAGUCAGUCCACAAUCAGCAUGGGACCCCAGGUUCCUGCUCUGUGGAGAGGACUGGCCCUCACCAUGGUGUUUUGCGCUUUCUUCUCCAACGCGCCCUGGAACGUUAAAGCGCCGCCCUCAUCACUGGUUAUUUAGCCGACGCGAUUAUUGAUGAACAGUUCAGUGUAAAGCCCCGCGAUCCCUCUCCAGGCCAUCGUAACAACUGAACUGAUGGCAGUGAGAGAGGGCUGCAGGUGAGAAGACCUGAGGGAUUUUCAAAGACGAGGAGGAAUCUGAGGCAGGCCUGGAAAGACGGGCUUCUGAACAGGAUCCUUCAAGUUGACUCCAGGGAAAAGGAUACCCAAGUGGGAACUUGGGUCAAGCCUGGGACAGGAAGCACAGCUGGACUGCGUGGAACUGGGGCAUCAUUAGGUGGUUUUCCUCUCCAUCCACCUCUUUCCCUCUGAGACCAAGUUGUCUUUCCUACCUCCCUCUAUAUGUCUGUCCACUCUCCUCCCUGAAGGCCGGCUUCCUCUACUCAUGUAUCACCACACAUGGCUGCCAGCGGCAAGUGCAAAGGACCUUCUGAUUGCCAGCACCCACCACCUUCAGACUGCCUCAGCCUUCCGCUACAUAGUUCAGAUUCCCAGGGAAAUAAACUGAUCGGCUUGGCCUAAUUCAGAAGGAAGAGACACCCAGGACCACAGCUGGAAGACCCUCCAUCUCUUGGUGCCCAGUUCCAGAUCGGGUGUUGACAGGAAGGUGAUGAUGGUCAUAGUGAAACGGAGCAGGACCCUGUGGUCCUCACCUGCCAUGUCCUCUGCCUGCAUUUUGUCUGUGGAAAAACUUCAGCCAAAGAAUAAGUUUAAUCAGAGAAGUCAGAAAAUGCAGAAACAAAGGAAAACAGUCAGAGGAGACCAAAUAAUAAUAGUUUAGUCAUUAAGCAUAGUCAAGGACCUUUAGUUCCUCCUUAAGGGCUAUAGAUCAUAUUCUGAGCCGUAUCCCGUGAGCUGUCAUAUAGAUACUGAGAUCCCCACCAGGCGGAAGAAGUUACCUACAUGAUGAGCAGGCUGUAGCCAUGACAUCAGCUGCCACAAUUCUGAGAACUGGCCUCAAAGAAAUGGGAACAAACCGACCCUGGAACAGAAGA